UCUCGAUUGGUCUAGUGGUAAGGAUACCUGCUUGUCAUCGAUGUAUAUCAUCACCAAAGCGCAGGUGGCCGGGGUUCGAUUCCCCGAUCGAGAG
rnacentral:tRNA from 1 species